rnacentral:rRNA from 1 species
UACGUAGGGUGCAAGCGUUAAUCGGAAUUACUGGGCGUAAAGGCGUGCGCAGGCGGGCUUUGUAAGUUUGUCGAUGAAAUCCCCGGGCUCAACCUCGGGAAUUGCGAUGAAGACUGCAAGGCUAGAAUCUGGACAGAGGGGGUAGAAUUCCACGUGUGAGCAGUGAAAUGCGUAGAGAUGUGGAGGAACACCGAUGGCGAA